rnacentral:rRNA from 1 species
AACGAACGCUGGCGGCGUGCCUAAUACAUGCAAGUCGAGCGAGAAAGUCUCUUCGGAGAUGAGUAAAGCGGCGCACGGGUGAGUAACACGUGGGCAAUCUGCCCUCGAGUCUGGGAUAACCCGGGGAAACUCGGGCUAAUACCGGAUACGGCUGCGGGAUCUUCGGGUCCUGUGGAGAAAGAUGGCCUCUUCUUGAAAGCUAUCUCUCGAGGAUGAGCCCGCGUCCUAUUAGCUAGUUGGUGGGGUAACGGCUCACCAAGGCAAAGAUGGGUAGCUGGUCUGAGAGGAUGACCAGCCACACUGGAACUGAGACACGGUCCAGACUCCUACGGGAGGCUG